GGGGAAUUUUCCGCAAUGGGCGAAAGCCUGACGGAGCAAUACCGCGUGAGGGAGGAAGGCUCUUGGGUUGUAAACCUCUUUUCUCAGGGAAGAACACAAUGACGGUACCUGAGGAAUAAGCAUCGGCUAACUCCGUGCCAGCAGCCGCGGUAAUACGGAGGAUGCAAGCGUUAUCCGGAAUGAUUGGGCGUAAAGCGUUCGUAGGUGUCCUUCAAGUCUGCUGUCAAAGCGCAGGGCUUAACUCUGUAAAGGCGGUGGAAACUGAAGAGCUAGAGUGCGGUAGGGGUAGAGGGAAUUCCCGGUGUAGCGGUGAAAUGCGUAGAGAUCGGGAAGAACACCAGCAGCGAAAGCGCUCUACUGGGCCUGCACUGACACUGAGGGACGAAAGCUAGGGGAGCGAAUGGGAUUAGAUACCCCAGUAGUCCUAGCCGUAAACGAUGGAUACUAGGUGUUGCCUGUAUCGACCCGGGCAGUGCCGUAGCUAACGCGUUAAGUAUCCCGCCUGGGGAGUACGCGCGCAAGCGUGAAACUCAAAGGAAUUGACGGGGGCCCGCACAAGCGGUGGAGUAUGUGGUUUAAUUCGAUGCAACGCGAAGAACCUUACCAGGGCUUGACAUGUCGCGAACCUCAGGGAAACUUGAGGGUGCCUUCGGGAGCGCGAACACAGGUGGUGCAUGGCUGUCGUCAGCUCGUGUCGUGAGAUGUUGGGUUAAGUCCCGCAACGAGCGCAACCCUCGUCCUAAGUUGCCAGCAUUAAGUUGGGCACUCUGAGGAGACUGCCGGUGACAAACCGGAGGAAGGUGGGGAUGACGUCGAGUCAGCAUGCCCCUUACGUCCUGGGCUACACACGUACUACAAUGCUACGGACAAAGGGCAGCCAGACAGCAAUGUCGAGCAAAUCCCAUAAACCGUGGCACAGUUCAGAUUGCAGGCUGCAACUCGCCUGCAUGAAGGUGGAAUCGCUAGUAAUCGCAGGUCAGCAUACUGCGGUGAAUCCGUUCCCGGGCCUUGUACACACCGCCCGUCACACCAUGGAAGCUGGCUUAGCCCGAAGUCGUUACCCUAACCCGCAAGGGAGGGGGACGCCGAAGGCAGGGCUGGUGACUGGGGUGAAGUCGUAACAAGGUAGCCGUACCGGAAGGUGUGGCUGGAUCACCUCCUU
rnacentral:rRNA from 1 species